UCCGUACAACUUUGUAGCACCACCAGAGAAAUUCUAAAUAGCCUAGGACGCUGGUAGUAGCACUGAGACAGACCACUGCUACAACAUCAAAAACUUGCUUACAGAAUACACAACGACCGUCUGGUUAAAAGGGCUCUUCUUCUUCAGAGCUUCUGCUUGGGUAGUGUCCUUGGAUCCCUCAUUCAGACGGAAUGGUGCAAUCAUGUCAUCGAAUGUCUUCAAACUAAAGUGGCAAUCCACAAUGAAUUUACCUGGCAGAGGUUGGUCUGGCAUUCAUAUCAGGAAUGACAUGGAUGUCAUCACAUUUGAUCCUGAAUUUCUUGAGGAGUAACACCAUCCUAGAGAACAAAAGAUGUAUCAUUUCACUGGGGAUGUGUCCAGAUGGUCUGUGUUUGGUGACCACUUACUCGUCUUUGUCUUGCUGGAUUCGGCCAGGCAGACCA